UUCUCUCUCAACCUUUUCGAAUCUUCUCUUCAAUGGCUUUCCCCUACUCAGAAAUUCAACAAAACAUGAUUCUCCGGCUGCAAGGAUAAACUAUUUGGUGAAGACUAAUAUCCCUCAGACUCUCUCCGCCGUCAUGUCCGUCCGGCACGUCGAAUUCCAGAACCACAAAUCUGGAAAGUAGAAGUUCCCAAAACAAUAAUGAAUUGCAAAUCUGGAAUUGAAUCCUACUUUUGCUCCAAUCGAAUUUUAGUCCGCUCCAAUUAGGGUUCUAUAAAUUUGGGUGAAAUUCCUGGGUUUGAUCGAUCUUCUUCAAAUAUCGGGAUUUUAGUUAAUUUUUAGUUUGCUGAAGUUUCUGCAAUUUGUUUUUGAGAAAAUGGGAAAGCGUGGAAAUAAUCAGAAGAAAGCCCCUCAGAAUUUGAGGAAAAUGAAGCUAUUCUGAAGAUGUGAAAAAAUUCAAUAAUAUGGAGGACGAAAUUGAUGUCUAUAAUGGUGGGAUCAAAAAAUAUGACAGUGUUUCCGGACUUUCUGAGCAGCCGAGAGAUCAAAUACGUCGUUCACAUGGUUAGACGGUUGUGUGGACAAAAACAAAAAACAGUGAGCAUGACUGGAGGAAAGGAACUGAGCAAUACAAGUUCAUUGGAGGUGAUGACCAACUUGAACGGCGGGAAAAGAGAAAAACAAGAGUUCCAACAAUUAGUAACAAAAUAGUUGAUAUACCACCCGAUGAGUAUUGCUGGAGGAACUAUAGCCAGAAACCCAUCAAAGGCUCUCCUCAUCCCAGGUUAAAAAGUCUUGCAUACUUAUCAAAACUGCAUAAGAUGGCUUAUUCAAAUUGAUUAUGCUGGAAUUCGUGAC